rnacentral:rRNA from 1 species
GAUGAACGCUAGCGGCAGGCUUAACACAUGCAAGUCGAGGGGUAUAGUUCUUCGGAAUUAGAGACCGGCGCACGGGUGCGUAACGCGUAUGCAAUCUACCUUUCACAGAGGGAUAGCCCCAGAGAAAUUUGGAUUAAUACCCCAUAGUAUAGCAGUUUCGCAUGAAACCACUAUUAAAGUCACAACGGUGAAAGAUGAGCAUGCGUCCCAUUAGCUAGUUGGUAAGGUAACGGCUUACCAAGGCAACGAUGGGUAGGGGUCCUGAGAGGGAGAUCCCCCACACUGGUACUGAGACACGGACCAGACUCCUACGGGAGGCAGCAGUGAGGAAUAUUGGACAAUGGGCGCAAGCCUGAUCCAGCCAUGCCGCGUGCGA